AGAUCGAACGCUGGCGGCAGGCCUAACACAUGCAAGUCGAGCGGCAGCACGGGUACUUGUACCUGGUGGCGAGCGGCGGACGGGUGAGUAAUGCCUAGGAAUCUGCCUGGUAGUGGGGGAUAACGCUCGGAAACGGACGCUAAUACCGCAUACGUCCUACGGGAGAAAGCAGGGGACCUUCGGGCCUUGCGCUAUCAGAUGAGCCUAGGUCGGAUUAGCUAGUUGGUGAGGUAAUGGCUCACCAAGGCGACGAUCCGUAACUGGUCUGAGAGGAUGAUCAGUCACACUGGAACUGAGACACGGUCCAGACUCCGACGGGAGCAGCAGGUAGGGAAUAGUGGAACAGUGGGACAAGCCUGAUCCAGCAAGUCGCCGCGUGAGUGAGUAGGAA
rnacentral:rRNA from 1 species